UACAGAGGGGGCGAGCGUUGUUCGGAAUUACUGGGCGUAAAGAGCGCGCAGGCGGUCGUUCAAGUCGAGUGUGAAAGCCCCCGGCUCAACUGGGGAGGGUCACGCGAUACUGAUCGACUCGAAGGCAGGAGAGGGAAGUGGAAUUCCCGGUGUAGUGGUGAAAUGCGUAGAUAUCGGGAGGAACACCAGUGGCGAAGGCGACUUCCUGGCCUGUUCUUGACGCUGAGGCGCGAAAGCUAGGGUAGCAAACGGG
rnacentral:rRNA from 1 species